rnacentral:piRNA from 1 species
UGAAUCACUUAGUUUGAAUCAAAGCUC